GAAUAGAUUAAUAAAGCGUUAGACUCGCUAAAGUCUAGCUAUGGCUAAAGUCUGAAGUGGAUAGCAAAAGAAAACCGUUAGAGGCAGACAGGCUAACUUUUUACUGUUCAUUAUAGUUUCACUAACGUCAAUCGUAAUGUCGACCGUCAGUAUUUAUCAGUAGAUUGUAAAUUAUUAGAAGUGUUAUAUCCUUUAGUAGUGUUUGUACUCUAGGCGCCAGUUAGCAUGUAACAGCAUGUGAAUGAAUGAACUGGCCACACUAGCAUGGUGCAUUUAUACCUGACGAUCUCUUUCAAGACAUUUGAAUAAAAAACGGACAUCAUGGUUAGUAUUUACAGGGUCUGUACAUGUGGUCCCUAGCCUGGUUUGUCUGAGAAUUAAGUAGAAAUAUCCUUUAGAAGUGUUUGUACUUUAGGCGCUAGUUAGCAUGUAACAGCAUCUGAAUGAAUGAACUGACCACUACUGUAUGGUGCAUUUAUACCUGACGAUCUCUUUCAAGUCAUUUAAAUAAAACAUGGAUAUCAUGGUUAGUAUUUGUAGAGUCUAUAAAUGUGGUCCCUUGCUUGGUUUGUCUGAAAAUUAAGUGGAAAUAUCCUUUAGAAGUGUUUGUACUUUAGGCGCUAGUUAGCAUGUGCCAGGUGUCAUACCACUGCAGUAAUCAUCUCACUAAACACGUCUUUUCAUAUCCAAUCUGUUCAACAGAGUUUACCAGUCAGACCACUACACCUUUGCCAGCACCACCACCCAGCAAGCUUCAUCAACUCCAGCCAUGCCGAGUUUACCAGUCAGACCUACACCUCCGUCAAAUUCGCUCACAGCGCUGCCAAUAACACCCCAGCAAGAUUUUUACAGACUUGUUCUGCAGCACUUCCGAACAAUUGAGGAGGAGCUGGGGUAAAGCAGCAGGUGGCUGUGAACACAUCUAUGCUGCAGAAGCUAGGUGGUGGUGGUGUGGCGGAUCUUGGCCUCGUGGAGGACAACAACAGGCCAUUGAGUAAUGUUGAGGACCUGGACGAGUUGGAGAGGCGGCUUGCAUCCGAUGCGGACCUGAAAAAUCAACUGGUGAACAUACUUGGGAGGGAAAACCACGGAGAUGCUGUUAAGAGGAUGCUGGGCCGGGCUUUGAGGAGGUCCCUGGCGCUCCAAAUUAAUUAGACUGGUGCAGCAGGAAAGGUGGCAUUUAAGUCCUUACACCUGAAGAGUGUGUUGCAUAUUAAUAUCAUUAUUAAAAAUAAUUUUAAUAAAUUGUUUAAGCAUGUAGAAGAAAUAAAGCAUGUAAAUGAGCUUGUAAAAGAAAUAAAUAAACAAAAUGUAU